CAGCCGCCACGGGAAUACAGAGGGUGCGAGCGUUAAUCGGAUUUACUGGGCGUAAAGCGUGCGUAGGCGGCUUCUUAAGUCGGAUGUGAAAUCCCUGAGCUUAACUUAGGAAUUGCAUUCGAUACUGGGAAGCUAGAGUAUGGGAGAGGAUGGUAGAAUUCCAGGUGUAGCGGUGAAAUGCGUAGAGAUCUGGAGGAAUACCGGUGGCGAAGGCGGCCCCCUGGACAAAGACUGACGCUCAGGUGCGAAAGCGUGGGGAGCAAACAGGAUUAGAUACCCCUGUAGUCCCUGUCUCUUAUAC
rnacentral:rRNA from 1 species